UACGUAGGUGGCAAGCGUUGUCCGGAUUUACUGGGCGUAAAGAGCGCGCAGGCGGUCGUUCAAGUCGCGUGUGAAAGCCCCCCGGCUCAACUGGGGAGGGUCACGCGAUACUGAUCGACUCGAAGGCAGGAGAGGGAAGUGGAAUUCCCGGUGUAGUGGUGAAAUGCGUAGAGAUGUGGAGGAACACCAGUGGCGAAGGCGACUUUCUGGUCUGUAACUGACACUGAGGCGCGAAAGCGUGGGGAGCGAACAGG
rnacentral:rRNA from 1 species